UACGUAGGUGGCAAGCGUUGUCCGGAAUUAUUGGGCGUAAAGCGCGCGCAGGCGGUCUUUUAAGUCUGAUGUGAAAGCCCACGGCUCAACCGUGGAGGGUCAUUGGAAACUGGGAGACUUGAGUGCAGAAGAGAAGAGUGGAAUUCCACGUGUAGCGGUGAAAUGCGUAGAGAUGUGGAGGAACACCAGUGGCGAAGGCGACUCUUUGGUCUGUAACUGACGCUGAGGCACGAAAGCGUGGGGAGCAAACAGG
rnacentral:rRNA from 1 species